rnacentral:rRNA from 1 species
AUUGAACGCUGGCGGCAGGCUUAACACAUGCAAGUCGAACGAGUGGCGGACGGGUGAGUAAUGCUUGGGAAUCUGGCUUAUGGAGGGGGAUAACGACGGGAAACUGUCGCUAAUACCGCGUACCAUAGGAUGAGCCCAAGUGGGAUUAGGUAGUUGGUGGGGUAAUGGCCUACCAAGCCGACGAUCGCUAGCUGGUCUGAGAGGAUGACGAGGCCAACCGGGACGGGGGAACGGCCCGGACUCCGACGGGAGGCAGCAGGGGGGAAUCUGCCUCAAUGGACGAAAGUCUGACGGAGCAAAGCCUCGUGAGUGAUGACGGCCUUCGGGUUGUAAAGGUCUGUUAAUCGGGAGACGGUACCGGAAUAGAAAGCCACGGCUAACUACGUGCCAGCAGCCGCGGUAAUAC